AUGAACAACACAGUGAAGGAAGAACUCCGUGCAAGCCCAAGUCAUGAGUGCUUUUCAACUUCGACGCUACUUUUAAGAGGGAACCGCCAUAUGAGAAGUAUAUCGGAAGAAUUCUUUUGCCGCGUGGGAAUGCUUAGAGUGCUAGACCUGUCCUUCACUCCAAUCAGAACCCUUCCCCAGUCCAUUUCUCGUCUGUUUCACCUCCGGUUGCUGCUACUGGUUGGAUGUGGACACUUGGAGAGAAUUCAGCACAUAGGCUCGCUGGAGAUGCUGGAGGCACUGAGUGCAUCAGGUUGUGGCUCCCUAAAAAGGGUAGAAUGUGGAUCAUUUGACCGUAUGGGGUUGCUCAAGAUCCUCGACCUUUCGAGAACUUCUAUCGAAUGCUUGCCAUCCCUGGCUGCGUGCAUGGAGCUUAACCAACUUCUGCUACAAGAUUGCCCAUGCCUCAAGUUUGAGCAAACUACAGAAACAAACCACAAUUCAUGUGAUACAACAGCAUUUAUCAAGUUCCCUUAUGGAGUUUCAAAAACAGGUGCCGUCAGUAACCUCCAGAUAGGAGUAAGUAAGGAUCCGGUGGAUUGGAAGGCCAUGCUUUGGUUGCCGCGUGGACUUACUUUCGAGUUGUCUGACAGAUUUGGCAUGAGGGUCUCUCAAGAUGUAAACCAGGACGGAAAAACAUACAUUUAUUCAAGUCAGGCCAACUUCGCUCAGUCUUUGUCUUUGGACAAAGACUCUACACUGUGGUCAAACUGCUUUCGAAAGUUUCACAUAGUUAUCUCCCCUUUAAACUCUGACCAAACAAUGGACAAUGGCUUUGAAGUAUGGAGGACAAAAUUUUCUUUGAUGGACAGACAGUCAGGUGAUUUCGAUAGGGUUUUGGAGAUAAAAUGUGUCAGCAAUCCUGAUGAUCUCGAAGGGAUUCUUAGACACGCUGAGCUAAUAUCAUUAAAAAGUAUAACACUGACAAAUCUGAAUAUAUGGAUCUCUAACAUGGAUAAUUUAGCAUACUUCUGCCAAGGGAUGGAAGAUUUGACUAGUUUCAGUUGUCUGAUGCACUUGCUCCUCGAUUGCUGUCCAAAACUGAACUUCCUCUUUCCUUCAUCCCUGCGCCUGCUGAAUCUUCGUAGCCUACAAAUAAGGUUCUGUGACAGCUUGGAGAGAGUGUUAGACGAAUCGGUCGCCACGGAACAUGCUCUUCCGAGGCUACAGUCGCUGCAGCUGUGGGAGCUUCCAGAGCUUAGCUGCAUCUGCGGAGGGGUCUUGCCGUCUCUCAAGGACUUGAAGGUGAAGGGCUGUGCGAAACUGAAGGGAAUCCCCAUUGGUGUCACUGAAAAUAACCCAUUCUUCGCAACGAUAAUAGGAGAAACGCAAUGGUGGAAUGAUUUAGUCUGGGUUGAUGGAAGUAAGCUACUGACAGGAGGUGCAGUGGUGCCUCAGCGUAGCAUUUGGCGCCAGCGGCUCUUGAUAUCGUGA
rnacentral:rRNA from 1 species